CACUGGCCUGUGGCUCUCCUGACACCACAAGAGAGGUCCAGGAGCUGACUUUGGGUCCAAUGGGGGACACCAUCCAGGCUACAGGCUGGCAGGGUGGUGUGGUGGUCAGUGUACUGGGCUCUGCGUGUCUGCCCCUACCUGCUGUGUGACGGUGGGCCAGACACCUAACCUCUCUGUGCCUCUAUUUCUUCAAUGGUGAACAGGGACACUAGCAGCCCCCACAUCCGAUCACAGUGGCCUGAAGGUUAAAGGCAACGGCGGCACGAGACGUACAGUAAGAGCUCUGAGCAGGGAGAGCAGGGAGCUGCCCAGGGAGUUCCACCACCAUCUCCCAUCUGGCCGCGAGGAACCGAGGCUCAUGGUGACCUGGCCAGGUCUGUUGGACUCAGGGUCCUUCUCAUCCCGAAGAUCAGAGAGCUGUCACCAGGGAAGGAGCUGGCCCCUAGACACAGCCCAGGAAGCACACAGAGAAGGAUGCCCUGGGGACUUCGCCCUCCAGGUGCCCCACUGAGGCCCACCCACAUCAGCCCACAGGCCAGCUCACCCGGUAGAAGGACAUGCCUUCCUCCCGCUCCCAGGCCCCAUUGAGAAGAUGUCUCCAGCUGCCUCAAACAGCUCCAGCCCCAGGUUGGGGUCGCCUGUGUACAGGUCCACAUUCUGUGCCACCUGAAAGGAGACAGAAGUUCCCUCAAGACCCACACCUAGCGGUGGCCACGCGCACCUU
rnacentral:lncRNA from 1 species